CGAGCACGCGCGUGUGGCAUAUCAAUAAGCGGAGGAAAAGAAACUAACAAGGAUUCCCUUAGUAACGGCGAGUGAAGCGGGAAGAGCUCAAAUUUGAAAUCUUCAAGGUUCUACCUUGACGAAUUGUAGUUUAUAGAAGUGUUUUCUGUUAGUAGGAGUGGCAAAAGUUCUUUGGAAUAGGACAUCAUAGAGGGUGAGAAUCCCGUAUUUGGUCAUUCCUCCUAGCGUUGUGAUACACUUUCAACGAGUCGGAUUGUUUGGGAAUGCAGUCCAAAAUGGGUAGUAAAUUUCAUCUAAAGCUAAAUAUUGGCGAGAGACCGAUAGCGAACAAGUACCGUGAGGGAAAGAUGAAAAGAACUUUGAAAAGAGAGUUAAACAGUACGUGAAAUUGUCAAAAGGGAAGCGUUUGACACCAGUGUUGUUUUUCCGAAAAUCAAUUACGAAUGUUUUAGUUUUUGAGGAGUUAUGACUUCAUCGGCUUGCUUCUCUCUUUAUGAAACUUUCUUAAUGCACUUUUCGGUUAACAAGUCAACAUCAAUUUCUUUUGUUGUAAAAGGGUAUGAGGAAGGUGGCUUUCUUUUCGGAGAAAGUGUUUAUAGCCUUGUACCUCUGCAAUCGGAGAGAUUGAGGUCUGCAGCGUAGAUCCUUCGGGGUUAGAUACAUUUGUGCUAAGUUAUAGCUUUUCAUAGACAACUUGUUGACUAUGUUAAGUCUUGUAGCUUACUCGCUUAUGCUAUUUUACCUACGCUUAGGAUGUUGAGUAGCGACAUACGCAC
rnacentral:rRNA from 1 species